GGUGGGGACUGUCUGGCUCCGCAGCCAUCAAACCAAAUUCCCGAAAGGUGUUGGACAAGGAAGGAGCCGUGUUCAAGACAAAACACAAGACAGAACAAUGGGGAGUCUGUUUAGGAGGAUUAUUUAAGUCUUUUUUUUUUAAUAGAUAAUAAAUUGGACGAGAUAAUAUUGAUUAGUUUAAUGGAUCAAUCAUCAACGAUGAGGAGGUUGAUACUGGCCGCGGUCGUCCUCUCUUCCCUACCGACACAGGUGCAGGGCGUCCAGGUGAAUGUUCCUCAGACAGAGAGGAGUACAGCUCUGUUUGCCUCCGUCAUCCUGAAGUGUGAUUACUCCACCUCCGCUAACCAGCAGGAUGUCCAGGUCACCUGGCGAUACAAGUCCUUCUGCAAGGACCCCAUCCUGGAGUAUUACUCCCAAGCGUACCAGAAUGCUCUGCAGCUGGGUCAGGACCCGGCCAAUGACUGCCCAGACCGCCAGCGCACGGUGAGGAUCAUCGUCCAGAAGCGAGGCUCCAACGAGGCCAUACUGGGCACAGAGUACCGGGAACGCAAGAUCUCCGUCCAGAACAAGGCUGACCUGGUGAUCAAUGAGAUCAUGUGGUGGGACAACGGAGUUUACUACUGUUCUGUGGAAGCCACGGGAGACACCAGCGGCGGCUUGGAUGGCGUGAUCCAACUCAUGGUCUACAACUGGCUGACGGUGCUGUUCAUAGUGAUUGGAGCUCUGCUCCUCAUCCUGCUCUUCUGUAUCUGCUGCUGCCAGUGUUGUCCUCAGAGGUGCUGCUGCUACGUCCGCUGCCCCUGCUGCCCACAGACCUGCUGCUGUCCUGAGAAAGCGGUGAUGCAGCACAGGAUGAUGAAGGAUGCCCAGAGGACCAUGGGUCCAUGGAUGGGAGGUCAGCCCAUCUACAGCCCCAUGAGCCACGGAUCCUCACAGAUGAACCCUCUGCUGUAUGGAGGCUCCCAAUCAGGGAAGAGCAUCGCCAUGGCCCCCAUGCCCCUCCCCCCUCCCCCAUCUGGCUACAACAUGCCCCCCAGUGUCCACGCUGCCAGCAUCUACGGCAACCAACAUCCCGACAACAAGCAGAUGCUGGACUACCUGGAGAGCCAGGUGAGGAGCAUGGAUGGGACCAGCCCCAUGAUGCAGCCCCAACCCCACCACCAGCAGCUCCUGAUGAUACCCCCUCCCCCUCAGCACAUGAUGCCCCAGCACGUCCCCUUCUCAGCGGGUCCUCCCAGCAUGCUCUCUGGCCUGGACGACGGGGCUGUGGACUACCGGGGGGUCAUCCAGAUGCCUCCCAUCGUAGAGCAGCCUGGACGAGGAGGUCGGAGAGGGGGCCAGCCGCCGCUUGCUCCUACAACACGUCCACCCAGCUCCAGAGGAAGCAGCCGCAGCGAGAGUCGCUUCACCAAUCACCGUGACGACCGCAGCGACGCCAGCGGGCGCCGUUACCCGUCGCCGUCAAGGAGCCGUGGCAUGCCGAGGAGCUACAGUGAAGACUUUCUGGACGGGGAGAGCCGGGGGGCGCGGGGUCGAAUGGGUUCACGUGACGACCUCAGCGACAGGGUCCCUCGAUCCCGCUCCAGAGACGACCUGUUCGAGGAGCAGCGUCGCGCCCCGCCUCCCAGCAACUACUCCCGCUCCCGCAGAGGGUCGUUCAGUUCAGAUGAGGAUGAAAACAGCAGGAGAGGAGAGGGCAGAGGUCACAGGAGGAGGAGGAGGAGGAGAGAUGUAUUCAGACAUUCCGCCCAGCUAUUCUGAAUACGAGCCGGGACAGAAACCACCAAGGAGGAAUGAGCGUUACUCUGUUAAAACUCUGCUUUAGUUAGUACACUGAAUACACACUCACUAAACACACACACACACACACACACAACCCCUUCAAAAGCAUUUACCAUCUAACAAUGGCAUUUGAUCCAUGCCUUCAAUUACACAUAAUCAUAUAAUCACGCAGAUAUGAAAUAAUCACUCACAAAGACACACUGGUGCACACUACUUGGUUUCGUCACUUCUUCCAUUCAGGAAGCCUUUAAUUAAUGUGUCCCGCUACAGGGCAAGAGUUCUGGCAGUGGCACUGUGGUCAUCUGAUCUGGGCUCUCACUGGCUACCUCUCCUCUCCUUCUGCUGAAUGGCAUUACAACAGCCCCCUCUGCUGGUUGAACGCUCUCAGUGCAGAUAAGUGCCCAAUCUUGACAAUCUGUUGUGCAAACAAAAGCUGUGUGUGCAGUACAGUAGUCAGCCAGUGAGUCAGCCCUCAACAGUAGAUGAGUAGUUUGAAAGGCUCAAGCAUUGGGAAAUCAGAGACUGUAGAAAGAUCUGAGGUUGGGCAAUUUUGCAGAGCUAAGCAAUUGUCUCAGGUCACACUGUCAUGUCCUCCUCCACCCUCUCUAUCUCCUCAUAUUGUGUGAUUCUAAUUAGAGGUCGACCGAUUAUGGUUUUUCAACGUUGAUACCGAUUAUUGGAGGACCAAAAAAGGCGAUACUGAUUAAUCGGCCGAUCAAAAAAAAAAAAAACAUUAAAUUAAAUAUAAAAAAAUUAAGUUAUUUAUUUGUAAUAAUGACAAUUACAACAAUACUGAAUGAACACUAACUUAAUAUAAUACAUCAAUAAAAAUACAUUU